rnacentral:lncRNA from 1 species
UUCGGGAUGGCGGGAAUUUAGGGCAAAGAUGUACCUCAAGGCAGCGGGAUAGGUUUUAAUUUUUUCUGCGUCCUCUAUAGAAUUGUUCAACUCAAAAUCAGAGGGUUUCCGAGCCUUCGAUAGAGGGAUGGAUGAUUUGUCUACAUUUUCAAGCUGAUUACUCGUUACGUUGGAGGAGCUUUGAAGCUCUUGAAGCAAAUCUGCGAUUUUUUUAUCCAUUUGGAAAACUCAUGAAUUUUGUAUGCAUCAAACACAUUGAUAUUCAAAAUAAUUUAUCUAGCCCAAAAAUAGUUAAAAGAAAUUGAGAAAUUAAGUACUAAGCAGUGGUGGAGCUGGGUUCGAGAACAGAAUCCUUAGAUUCAGAUGUAGCGGUAGAUGGUUCGCCGUUAGAGGUGACAUCGGGCUUUGCAUCAGUAACGGGAGAGUCAUCCGUUUUGGAAGUUUCUUCGGUUUUUAAUUUUUUUUCAUUUUCGGGUUCGCUUUUUAUGCCAUUUGCAACUGGCUCUUCGGAAGCGUUGGGAAUACCAGCAAUGAUGGAAAAUUGACCACCUGCACCCGCUACACGGAUCGCCACUUCCUUGAUUGCCUUGGAACGAACUAAUGUAGGAACAGCUACAUCUUCAUCAUUAUCACCUUGACCAACCUCGUAGUUUUCAGCAGAUCCCCAUGAAUAAACCUUACCAUCUGAGGUAACAGCCAAGUUGUGAUGGGUACCACACACGACCUGUAUAACAUUAGUAAGUCCUGGGAUUAUAGUAGGGGUUGACAAGUAGUAAUUGUUUCCCUUUUCAUCUUUAACUACUGUUUCUGGAAGUGCAUUAUCCGGAAUUCCUAAUUGAUGACGAUCAUCUCGACCCCAGGCUAACACUCUCCCAUCUUCAAGUAAGGCUAGGGUAUGAUGUUCACCACCUGUAAUAGACUUAACAUUAUAUCCUUCUAAAGCAUCAACGAGUGUAGGCUUUGUAAUAACGGCGCCUUCUUCUUCAUCUUCUACCUCUAUUCCACAUUGUCUGGUUAUAUUUAAGCCCCAAGCAUAAACGCGUCCUUUGUUGUCAAUCGCAAAAGAAUGAUACGAUCCUGCUCCAACUGAAAUAAUAUUUUUUAAAGCUAACGGUUGAGGAGUCAAGCCUUGAAGUCGACGACGUUCUAACAUACGUCUACCCAGUUGAAACUGUUGACCAUUACCCCAUGUAUAUACUUUUCCUGUGGUAGUCAAGGCAAUAAUAUGGUCCGUCCCUGUAGCUAAUUGACAAAUUUCGGGAAGUCGCAUCUGCGUCGGUUCAGCUGUACGUUUUUGAGAAUCGCUAUACCCUAAUACACCAUCGGAACACUAGUAUGUUAGCAAACGAAAAAUGAUAAAUUUAUAAAGCCAUUUGUUCCAAAAGGGCGAAGGGAAAUGAUACAAUGAGUCAAUAGACUAUAAACAACACUGCAACGAUAACAGCACCUGAAUUUGGAAUCAAAGAUCAAAUGAUAAUUUUUCACGGCCAAAACAAAUUACUUACACGGAAAGUACCCCAAGUAAAGCAGCAGCCAUUGUCCGUUAUUGCUGCAGUGAGAUUGUCGCUACAUAUAACUUUUGUAACGCGUAGAUGAGAUAAAGCACCUUCGACCUUAGAAGGAGUUCCCUCUAGUAAAUCAUUGUCAACUUUGUCUCCAUUCUCAUCCUUUUGAUCCUUAGUAAGACGACCAAGGGCAUAGUCAUCAUUAACUCCCCAGGUGUAUACGCGACCGUCAUGAGAAAGGGCUGCAGAAUGCAUGCCGCCAACAGCCAAAUCGACUACUCCUACUUUAUCUGUAGAUAAAAUAGGAUUCAAACGAGGACGAUAAACGACAUCCAUUUCUUCUUCGCCCAUACCUAGCUCGUUCAUGGAACCGCUUCCAAAGACGUAAACGUUCAAUCGUUCCGUAGGUAGUUCAGGUAUCUUAUUAAUUCGCUUUGCGCUUCCUGGGACACGAACGGGUUUGGGUAGAGAGCUGACCUUUGCACGUUUAACCGGCUUUUUGCCAUUUUUCAUCACAUCUGAUUCAUCUAAUUCUCUUUUUUCAACCCCAUUUUUUGAGACCUCCUCUCUUUUAGUUGAGCUUCUAGUACUUCUAUUAGAAGUCAUUAUGAGUUUUAGCUGGAAGGGUUAGCUUUGCUACUAACAAUCGAUUUGUAAUUUAAAAAAGAACAAGAUGUCAUCGCGUAUUCCAUGCAACCAUCACCAGACGCAAAUCCAAGAAUUACAUUUACUUUUUGGUACCACUUACUAUAGCUUGGGUUUAAAAUAUUACAAAAGACAAAAAACAACGAUUUAUGUCGUUUUUGUUUUCGCAGAGACGUUGUUUUCAAAACUCGAACAAGUCGUUCUGUAUACGGAUUCUCACUAUUCAGUAUACUGCGAAUCGUUGUUAUGUGCAGCUUGUAAUUAAGCAUUCGUUAAUUACAACAUAAGCUUCGUUUAGCAAAAUAAGUUAUUGACUUCAGUAAAAGUUCCCAGCUUGUAUUUGUUCAAAUGUGUGUAAGGUGAGCUACGAAUUUUUAUGAAAUCCUUUCUUUUUUUUUAACUUCAUUUGAUUUAUAUAAAUUCGUUUAAUCACGUCGAAUGUUGAAAAUUUGAGACCUCUUCUUAUCUGAGAAAGCGGUUUCAUGUAUAGCUAAACAAAGAUCAAAUUUAAAAAAAAAGCUCAUUAGUCAUAAGAAGUUACAGUAAGACUCGGAGUGUCCAUCGUUCAGCAAGAUCGUAUGCGAGAAUACGAACUCAAGCAACGCGAUUUUAAUCUCUUCAUAAAUUAUUUUUAUGAGGACCAUAUACUUUUUUCCCUCAUGAUUUAAUAUUUAGUUACAAUGAACAUAGUCGUUAGCAGUUUCUGUUUUCUUUAUUCUUUUCUGGAUUUAUAUGUCUGUGAAUUUGCCAUGUCAUAAAUUUGGGUAACGAUGUUACUCAACUUGAUUCUACAAGUUUGCCUGUGAACUUGAGUAUACUGUAAAAUUAAUUUCUCUUCUUAAUCAGCUCAAAUUAUUAAAAGUUGUAGUUGAAAUUUUCAAAAUACGGCAAGUUGUCUUGUGGGGGGCGGUUUUAUCUAUCGGUAAUGGCUCAAAGGUUAACCCUAUAGAAGGGACUUGUGGUGUUUGGUGACUGGCUCAGUACCUUGCCAACAGCAGA